rnacentral:rRNA from 1 species
GAGCCAGACUCCUACGGGAGGCAGCAGUGGGGAAUAUUGCACAAUGGGGGAAACCCUGAUGCAGCGACGCCGCGUGAGCGAUGAAGUAUUUCGGUAUGUAAAGCUCUAUCAGCAGGGAAGAAAAUGACGGUACCUGACUAAGAAGCCCCGGCUAACUACGUGCCAGCAGCCGCGGUAAUACGUAGGGGGCAAGCGUUAUCCGGAUUUACUGGGUGUAAAGGGAGCGUAGACGGCUGUGCAAGCCAGAUGUGAAAGCCCGGGGCUCAACCCCGGGACUGCAUUUGGAACUGCGCGGCUGGAGUGCAGGAGGGGCAGGCGGAAUUCCUGGUGUAGCGGUGAAAUGCGUAGAUAUCAGGAGGAACACCGGUGGCGAAGGCGGCCUGCUGGACUGCGACUGACGUUGAGGCCCGAAAGCGUGGGGAGCAAACAGGAUUAGAUACCCCAGUAA